CGGCGAGUGAAGAGGGAAAAGCCCAAAUUUGUAAUCUGGCUCUUUUACAGGAGUCCGAGUUGUAAUUUUGAGAACUGUUUUCUGUGCUGGACCAUGUACAAGUCUGUUGGAAAACAGCAUCAUUGAGGGUGAUAAUCCCGUAGAUGACAUGGACUACCGGUGCAAUACGAUACAGUCUCUAAGAGUCGAGUUGUUUGGGAAUGCAGCUCAAAGUGGGUGGUAAAUUCCAUCUAAGGCUAAAUAUAGGUGAGAGACCGAUAGCAAACAAGUACCGUGAGGGAAAGAUGAAAAGAACUUUGGAAAGAGAGUUAACAGUACGUGAAAUUGUUAAAAGGGAAACAUUUGAAGUUAGACUUGUUAUUAUUGGUUCAGCUUCUCUUUUUUAAUUAGGAGUUUAUUCCAAUGGUUGACAGACCAGCAUCAAUUUUUGAGUGUUAGAUAAGGGUCUUGGAGAAUGUGGCAACUUUGGUUGUGUUAUAGCUCCUGGCUUGAUAUAAUGCUUAAGAUUGAGGAACGCAGUGAGCUUUAAAUUUUUUGAAGUGGAUUCUUUUGAAUCUUCAUCACUACGGAUGUUGGUGUAAUA
rnacentral:rRNA from 1 species